rnacentral:rRNA from 1 species
UACGAAGGGGGCUAGCGUUGCUCGGAAUCACUGGGCGUAAAGCGCACGUAGGCGGCUUUCUAAGUCAGGGGUGAAAUCCUGGAGCUCAACUCCAGAACUGCCUUUGAUACUGGAGAGCUCGAGUCCGGGAGAGGUGAGUGGAACUCCGAGUGUAGAGGUGAAAUUCGUAGAUAUUCGGAAGAACACCAGUGGCGAAGGCGGCUCACUGGCCCGGUACUGGACGCUGAUGUGCGAAAGCGUGGGGAGCAAACAGG